GGCUUCAUUUUCGACGCCGAGUUUUCGAUGGCAAGACGAAGGUAGGUGAAAGAGAAGACCCCUCGAACAAGAACGAGUCUCCAGAAGCGAUCGAGUCGAGCGGGAAGACGACUUUUGAAUUUCGCCGAGCGAGCGCUGAUGACGUAAUGAGGGAUUAGCUUGCCGGUGGAAAUGCACCUACGCACAUACAUUUCACAUACUUUUUGGCCAAUUUUCAAUCGAAGAGGAGGUUGUUUUCUAUGUUCUCCCAACGUUGUGAGCGAUCCCGUCUUCUAUACCCUUCCAGGUAUCCUGAGGGUCCUCCAGAGGAGAAUUUAUCUCCAGCAAAGCGUUGUUGAUCCGCUAAAUUCGUCUCGAGACAUAUUCACCCAGUACAGAUAAAUGUAGAAUGUUGAAUCUGUGAUAAUUGUUGACGAUGGAGAGAGAGGCUAAUAGCCGCUGUCGCAGGGAGAGUGAAGCUGCUGGAAGUAACAACGGGGAGCCCGUUAGCAUCACAUGAGCACCCAGACUUCAAAGCAGCUUGACCAAAUCGGAGGGUGCUGACUAUUUCCCUCGUUGUGUAUCGUGAAUAUUACACCAACAUGAAUUACUACACGUACGUAUGCUGGUCUGUCCAAUAUGCAUUGACCGCAGUGGGUAUGGUUUCUGCUCUGAGAAGGGAAUCGCUGGAGCCACAGUCCAGCUAAACAGGCUUGCAAGAAAGAGAGAGGAGCCAUCUUGUCAAGGCUGAUACCUGAUGUGUACCGGCAGAAUUCUCACGAGAUACCUCACAGACUACGUCUGGCGUAUACUUCAUAGUACUCGUUCGACUACUGUCUAGAAUCAAGUCGACGGAAACAACUCUGACUUCAAACGAGCCGUCGAUUAGACAAACAAAGCCUUCUCUUAUAUAAUUGAUCACUUUGACAACUCAUGACCUAUUCCUAACGAUUGCCACCGCUUAUAAAGGUGUGGAGUGCUGUUUGGAAUGUGCUCACAAUCUCAAUAAUUCAGUGCUCUAAUUAUUUGUUCAAUGUGUUGGAAAUUAUUCCAUUUUUCCUUCCAUAAAUGUUGUAUCCACGGAUAAUCCACAGUGUUGCAAAGUUUCAGAGUUCUCAGGGUAUCAAGCAAAUUAUUCCAAAUACAGUGAAAUUGCUAGUGGACAUUAUAGCGUUACUUGUAGUUCCCUGGUCCUUUUCUUUGCUGUAAAUUAAUCAUUGGCCCUCUA